rnacentral:rRNA from 1 species
UACGUAGGGUGCAAGCGUUGUCCGGAAUUACUGGGGCGUAAAAGAGCUCGUAGGCGGCUUGUCGCGUUGUCCGUGAAAAUUUACAGCUCAACUGUGAACUUGCGGGCGAUACGGGCAGGCUAGAGUACUGCAGGGGAGACUGGAAUUCCUGGUGUAGCGGUUGAAAUGCGCAGAUAUCAGGAGGAACACCGGUGGGCGAAGGCGGGUCUCUGGGCCGAUACUGAC